UUUAAUUGAAGAGUUUGAUCAUGGCUCAGAUUGAACGCUGGCGGCAGGCCUAACACAUGCAAGUCGAGCGGCAGCACAGAGAAACUUGUUUCUCGGGUGGCGAGCGGCGGACGGGCGAGUAAUGCCUGGGAAAUUGCCCUGAGGCGGGGGAUAACC
rnacentral:rRNA from 1 species